rfam:Trichobilharzia regenti genome assembly, scaffold: TRE_scaffold0007537
GUACUGAUAAAGAGUCCCAAAAUAGGACGAAACAGUUUUCCAGUAC